GUGCACAGUUUCGCAUGGUUUGCAGCAUUGCUGGCGUUUCUAUAAUUUUUGUGUGCGUUUUUGGCAGAAAUUUCGAAAAACUUGCGCAAAUUUGGCUUUGCCGUUUGACAUUUUCGUUGUCAUAAGCCAAAACGAUUCAAUCGAUAUCGCUAUGGUUGGCGGGCCCCCAUACCAACCCACACACACGCACACACACACAAAGGCACAUACCUGCUUCGCAGUGCAUUAACACACAUACGCACAGGCACUGGGCACCAUUCCACACUAAUUGGACGCAGUUACAUAAGAUUCGUGCUGUGAAUUUGCAAGUGCCGCUGCGGCAAGUAACGGGAUUAGCGUUAGACUUGAAAGAAAAAAUGGUUAAAAACAUUUUAAGAGGACUUUUUGAACAAUUUCAUUUAAUUUUUUCGUUUUUCAAAAAGCAUUUAAGCAUUUAAAGAAAAAAGUGGGUGUUUGCAAGCGUCAUAUGGGUGACAGUGUUGAAGGGGUUGCGCUUAUUCGUCGUUGCCGCUUCGUUUUCGCCAGCUGCAUUGUGGUGUCUUAGCUUGCGAACGUUCGUGUGCAUGCGAAACCGUUAGUCAGCGUCCAGUAUGAGAGUCGUUUGUCGGUUUUUCGGUUUUCGGCGCAACACAAUCUAUGUAUUUGAGGCUUAACUAGUUCAGUGCGAGAUGUCGGCAUAACAGAACGUCAAAGAAUAAUCAAUCAGCCAGUCAGUGAGUCAGUCAGUCAGUGAGCCAGCAAGACCGCGUUGAAAAGUCCGUGUGUGACAGUGAGUUGGUGUGUUAGUUGCCGCCGAAAAGCCAAGCCAGUUAAGCAGCAGAGUAGCCUGCGUGGCCGAGUCCAAUUAUUGUACCUGUGUAUGAGACGUGCCCCGAUUUGUGAUUUUAUUUCGAAGUGACAAAGUUUUGCUUCACAUCCGUUAACUGCGUGUUUUAAGUGAACAGUAUAAGAAACAAAAACAAAUAAAAGUAAUCAGCAAGCAAAAUAACAUAGCAAAAAGCAAUACGGUAAUAAUUAAAAAAAUAAUAUAAUUGAAACUAACCGAAAGUAUCAAAUAUUAACCAAAAGAAUUAAACUAAAAGUUCUUUUAGCGAACUACAUUCGAAACAAAAAUCGUAGCGAACAACAACAAUAGUUCUGUUUUUAAUCCUCACCAACAGUUUUUUGUUAAUCUCGUUGUUGUUGUGAAUAAAUCGAUAAUUGUAUAAUAUCAAAAACACAAAAAGCAAAAAAAAGAAACAAGAAAAAUGUCACCACUAAUGGAACGAACACUGCUGCUCUUGGGCAUCCUUUGCUGUUUACAAGCAACCACUGCGCUGAUGUGUUACGACUGUAAUAGCGCCUACGAUCCCAAUUGCGGUGAUCCAUUCGAACCCUAUACCUUGGGUAAGGUGAACUGCACCCAACAGGAGGUUAAGGAACAUCUUAAAGACAAAUACACCAAACCUUUGCUCUGCCGUAAGACAACACAAAAGGUUUAUGGCAAGGUGCGCGUGGUGCGCGGUUGCGGCUACAUACCCGAUAAGAGCGAUGAUGGCCUGUGCAUGAAACGCUCCGGCACACAUGACGUGCAGGCAAUUUAUUGUGCGUGCACAUCUGAGCUGUGCAAUCAUGCCGCCUCCACAUUGUAUCAAAACAACAAUCAUCCCAUACUAUCGGCAUUACCCUAUACAUUAGCAGCGUUCUUUGUUUGGUUUGCCACAUUUUCGAGUCAUUUCAAUAUCAAUGCUUUUGGUGCUGUGCAAAAUUCAUAAAUAGUACGAGAUAUACAAAAGCCUACACGCAUAUAUAGUAGAAAUAAAUAAGCAUACAUACAUACAAGCAUACAUGCAUACAUACAUAUGUACAUAUGAUAGAUGUGUAUAUGUGUAUUAAGGAAAUGAAGUCGCGAAGUUUUCAUUUAACCACCUUAAGUUUGAAAAGUCAUAAUAGAGUCAUAUACACACCAGAACAUACACACACACUUAGACACACAUGCAUUGCAUAAUUCAAGCGAAAUAGAGCAAACAAAAUGCAAGUAAAAGCAGAAGUUGAUUAGGCAUAAAGAAAGAAAAGGAAAGCGAAACCAACAUUUAACGGUUAAAAAUAGCAUGGAACAAAAGCUGAUGGGUGUUAAAGCAGUUUAAAGGAGAGCGACGCAGCCUAGCUGAAGUAGCAUGUGUUGUAUAAGCAGACAAAUGAAAUCAGCACACUUGAGAUUACAUAACCACAUUCAAGCUAAAAUAAAGAAAUAAAUUAAAUUAAUAGAAAUUAAUACGAAAAACAGCGAUUUGUUCAACUAAAACCGAAAGCAAGCAUCUUUACUGUAUAUGUUGCCCCUAAAAGUAUGCUAAUAAAUAUAUUUUUCGUUCGACGACAAUGCAAUUGACAAAGCCGGAAAAUAUUGCUGUUGAAAGCAGGUUAUGUUACAAUUAAGGCGAACCACGCGAUUAAAUGUGCGCGCCAGCGCUGCUGCGUAUGUAUGUGGCUGUUAUUAAACAAUACGCAUACAUAUAUAUGUAUAUACAUAAUUAACUUACUUACUUAUACAAAUAUGACAUUUAAGUUAUUAGGAAAAUAACAAAAACAAAACCAUUAGAAAAAAAUCAAAUACAAGGAAAACAAAAACAACUGCCGUCACAUGUCUUGCGAAGAAGUAUUCGAAAUUUUUAAUAAUAGUUUCACAGUGUAUAUAUGUAUGUAUGUAUACUAUAGUGCUAAAUGUAACCAACACAUGCUGACACUAACGACGUACGUCACAAAUAUCUAGCUGCGUAUGAAAGUGUUAAGUGUUAUGUAGUAGUUGCUUUGUAAGAAAAAAAUUAAAUUAGAAAAAUUAUUAAUUUUUUUUAAAUACUUCACAUGAAAUUGUGUUUGCAGCGUUAUUGAAGCAGGCUAUGGUGCUUAAGGAGUUAUAUCCACUUGCAAGUAAGAAAAAAAAGAGAUUUCGUGCAAUUUGUUUAGAGAGGCAUUUAAUUAAAUAAAUUAAUUAAAAUAUUGUGCAUUAACGAAAUUUAAUGUACUUUAAUAAGCGGUUAUCAAUUUUGAAAACAAUUUUUUUCUCUCAAACCUGUCGCUGAUCUCCAAGAGAACCUCCGAAAAAGGUGUCUGAUGAUGCGCAAGAUUUUUCUGCUUAAAAAUAUUUAAAAUUCAAUAAUAAAAGAAAAAUUAUUAUUACAAUAGUUGAAUGCAGUUAAUGAUGACAAGAAUGGUGAAAAUUUUGAUUUUUGAAAAAUUGGUGGCUUCCUUAGAAAUAUAUUUUUUGUUAAAAAUCACUUUGAAGUGUCUAAAAAUCGAGAUUAUCAUCAAAAAUCUUAUUACUUCAAUUAUUAAAUAAUAAAAUAUAUAAAUAAAAUAUCUUGGCAGGUUAUGUGAUCUACCACAAGUCGAUCGAUUUAGCCGUUUCGGAGAGAUUUUCCUCACCAACUCUGAAAACAGCGUUUCCCGAAUCGUUUUAGCUGCCAAUUCUCAUGAAUACGCUCAUAUCUCCGAAACUAUUCUCCAAAUCAACUACAAAUUUUCGAAAAAUAUUCUCAAAUAUCUAUGCAUUCGACACUUAUGCAAGCAAAGACUCGAUUUUUCAAAAAUUCACAAGUGGAUAUAACCAUUGUCGUAAAAUGCAAGAAAAGUGUACGCAAAUUUCUUAAAUACUUUAUAAAUAGUGUGUGUUAUAACGUACAGUAUUUUCUAUACAACGCCACCACGUUGGAAACACUAAGCUGCCAACCACUGUUGUAUAGUCUUAACAUAACAUUGAAAUGUUACUUUAACAGUUGCAAGCAAAUAAGAAAUACUUAAAAAAACUGCAUAUAAAAUAUAACUGAACAAAAAAGCAUUUUGCGUGUUAGUAGCUAACUCGCAAAGCAACACUAGUCUCAUUCAUAAGCUACAUAACCUAAAAUUUGUUUUAACAGUGAAAUAAUUAUUGCUUCUAAACCUGAUUUUGCUGCAUUAUUGCCAUAAUUAUAAUAACAUAGUUCAUAUUUGUCUUAGUUUUUAGCUAUAACUUCCAUUAUUUGCAUACUGUAUAACAGUUAAAUACUGUUAUAUUUUGACAGAAUCACACAAAGUCGGCGCUUACACAUACAGCUGUAUGUAUGUCACAAUUAAAAGGCAGUUCUUACGAUAAGGCAACAUAAUAAGAACAGUUAAUCGUAAAAAAUUUGUAAAUUUAGCAAAUAUAAUAAAUAAAUCACUUCAAAAAAAUAUAGGGACUUAAUGAUUUAAAGCAGCUA